UACGAAGGGGGCUAGCGUUGUUCGGAUUUACUGGGCGUAAAGCGUACGCAGGCGGCUUGACAAGUCAGAGGUGAAAUCCCAAGGCUUAACCUUGGAACUGCCUUUGAAACUGUCAAGCUAGAGUCCGAGAGAGGAUGGUGGAAUUCCUAGUGUAGAGGUGAAAUUCGUAGAUAUUAGGAGGAACACCGGUGGCGAAGGCGGCCAUCUGGCUCGGUACUGACGCUCAUGUACGAAAGCGUGGGGAGCAAACAGG
rnacentral:rRNA from 1 species